GACGAACGCUGGCGGCGUGCCUAACACAUGCAAGUCGAACGGGGUAGAGAGCUUCGGUUUUCUGCUUAGUGGCGAACGGGUGAGUAACGCGUGAGAAACCUGCCUUUCAGUGGGGGACAACAGUUGGAAACGACUGCUAAUACCGCAUAAUGUUAUUUGAGGGCAUCCUCGAAUAACCAAAGAUUUAUUGCUGAAAGAUGGUCUCGCGUCUGAUUAGCUAGAUGGCGGGGUAACGGCCCACCAUGGCGACGAUCAGUAGCCGGUCUGAGAGGAUGAACGGCCACAUUGGGACUGAGAUACGGCCCAGACUCCUACGGGAGGCAGCAGUGGGGAAUAUUGGGCAAUGGGGGAAACCCUGACCCAGCAACGCCGCGUGAAGGAAGAAGGCCUUCGGGUUGUAGACUUCUUUUACCAGGGACGAACAAAUGACGGUACCUGGAGAAAAAGCAACGGCUAACUACGUGCCAGCCGCCGCAGUAAAAC
rnacentral:rRNA from 1 species